rnacentral:rRNA from 1 species
UACGGGGGGGGUAAGCGUUGUUCGGAAUUACUGGGCGUAAAGGGUUUGUAGGUGGCUUGUUAAGUCAGACGUGAAAUCCCUCAGCUUAACUGGGGAACUGCGUCUGAUACUGGCGAGCUUGAGUGCAGGAGAGGAACGCGGAAUUCCAGGUGUAGCGGUGAAAUGCGUAGAUAUCUGGAGGAACACCGGUGGCGAAGGCGGCGUUCUGGACUGCAACUGACACUGAGAAACGAAAGCCAGGGUAGCAAACGGG